UUAAGCGACUAAGCGUACACGGUGGAUGCCCUGGCAGUCAGAGGCGAUGAAGGACGUGCUAAUCUGCGAUAAGCGUCGGUAAGGUGAUAUGAACCGUUAUAACCGGCGAUUUCCGAAUGGGGAAACCCAGUGUGUUUCGACACACUAUCAUUAACUGAAUCCAUAGGUUAAUGAGGCGAACCGGGGGAACUGAAACAUCUAAGUACCCCGAGGAAAAGAAAUCAACCGAGAUUCCCCCAGUAGCGGCGAGCGAACGGGGAGGAGCCCAGAGCCUGAAUCAGUGUGUGUGUUAGUGGAAGCGUCUGGAAAGGCGCGCGAUACAGGGUGACAGCCCCGUACACAAAAAUGCACAUGCUGUGAGCUCGAUGAGUAGGGCGGGACACGUGGUAUCCUGUCUGAAUAUGGGGGGACCAUCCUCCAAGGCUAAAUACUCCUGACUGACCGAUAGUGAACCAGUACCGUGAGGGAAAGGCGAAAAGAACCCCGGCGAGGGGAGUGAAAAAGAACCUGAAACCGUGUACGUACAAGCAGUGGGAGCACGCUUCGGCGUGUGACUGCGUACCUUUUGUAUAAUGGGUCAGCGACUUAUAUUCUGUAGCAAGGUUAACCGAAUAGGGGAGCCGAAGGGAAACCGAGUCUUAACUGGGCGUUAAGUUGCAGGGUAUAGACCCGAAACCCGGUGAUCUAGCCAUGGGCAGGUUGAAGGUUGGGUAACACUAACUGGAGGACCGAACCGACUAAUGUUGAAAAAUUAGCGGAUGACUUGUGGCUGGGGGUGAAAGGCCAAUCAAACCGGGAGAUAGCUGGUUCUCCCCGAAAGCUAUUUAGGUAGCGCCUCGUGAAUUCAUCUCCGGGGGUAGAGCACUGUUUCGGCAAGGGGGUCAUCCCGACUUACCAACCCGAUGCAAACUGCGAAUACCGGAGAAUGUUAUCACGGGAGACACACGGCGGGUGCUAACGUCCGUCGUGAAGAGGGAAACAACCCAGACCGCCAGCUAAGGUCCCAAAGUCAUGGUUAAGUGGGAAACGAUGUGGGAAGGCCCAGACAGCCAGGAUGUUGGCUUAGAAGCAGCCAUCAUUUAAAGAAAGCGUAAUAGCUCACUGGUCGAGUCGGCCUGCGCGGAAGAUGUAACGGGGCUAAACCAUGCACCGAAGCUGCGGCAGCGACACUGUGUGUUGUUGGGUAGGGGAGCGUUCUGUAAGCCUGUGAAGGUGUACUGUGAGGUAUGCUGGAGGUAUCAGAAGUGCGAAUGCUGACAUAAGUAACGAUAAAGCGGGUGAAAAGCCCGCUCGCCGGAAGACCAAGGGUUCCUGUCCAACGUUAAUCGGGGCAGGGUGAGUCGACCCCUAAGGCGAGGCCGAAAGGCGUAGUCGAUGGGAAACAGGUUAAUAUUCCUGUACUUGGUGUUACUGCGAAGGGGGGACGGAGAAGGCUAUGUUGGCCGGGCGACGGUUGUCCCGGUUUAAGCGUGUAGGCUGGUUUUCCAGGCAAAUCCGGAAAAUCAAGGCUGAGGCGUGAUGACGAGGCACUACGGUGCUGAAGCAACAAAUGCCCUGCUUCCAGGAAAAGCCUCUAAGCAUCAGGUAACAUCAAAUCGUACCCCAAACCGACACAGGUGGUCAGGUAGAGAAUACCAAGGCGCUUGAGAGAACUCGGGUGAAGGAACUAGGCAAAAUGGUGCCGUAACUUCGGGAGAAGGCACGCUGAUAUGUAGGUGAAGCGACUUGCUCGUGGAGCUGAAAUCAGUCGAAGAUACCAGCUGGCUGCAACUGUUUAUUAAAAACACAGCACUGUGCAAACACGAAAGUGGACGUAUACGGUGUGACGCCUGCCCGGUGCCGGAAGGUUAAUUGAUGGGGUUAGCGGUAACGCGAAGCUCUUGAUCGAAGCCCCGGUAAACGGCGGCCGUAACUAUAACGGUCCUAAGGUAGCGAAAUUCCUUGUCGGGUAAGUUCCGACCUGCACGAAUGGCGUAAUGAUGGCCAGGCUGUCUCCACCCGAGACUCAGUGAAAUUGAACUCGCUGUGAAGAUGCAGUGUACCCGCGGCAAGACGGAAAGACCCCGUGAACCUUUACUAUAGCUUGACACUGAACAUUGAGCCUUGAUGUGUAGGAUAGGUGGGAGGCUUUGAAGUGUGGACGCCAGUCUGCAUGGAGCCGACCUUGAAAUACCACCCUUUAAUGUUUGAUGUUCUAACGUGGACCCGUGAUCCGGGUUGCGGACAGUGUCUGGUGGGUAGUUUGACUGGGGCGGUCUCCUCCUAAAGAGUAACGGAGGAGCACGAAGGUUGGCUAAUCCUGGUCGGACAUCAGGAGGUUAGUGCAAUGGCAUAAGCCAGCUUGACUGCGAGCGUGACGGCGCGAGCAGGUGCGAAAGCAGGUCAUAGUGAUCCGGUGGUUCUGAAUGGAAGGGCCAUCGCUCAACGGAUAAAAGGUACUCCGGGGAUAACAGGCUGAUACCGCCCAAGAGUUCAUAUCGACGGCGGUGUUUGGCACCUCGAUGUCGGCUCAUCACAUCCUGGGGCUGAAGUAGGUCCCAAGGGUAUGGCUGUUCGCCAUUUAAAGUGGUACGCGAGCUGGGUUUAGAACGUCGUGAGACAGUUCGGUCCCUAUCUGCCGUGGGCGCUGGAGAACUGAGGGGGGCUGCUCCUAGUACGAGAGGACCGGAGUGGACGCAUCACUGGUGUUCGGGUUGUCAUGCCAAUGGCACUGCCCGGUAGCUAAAUGCGGAAGAGAUAAGUGCUGAAAGCAUCUAAGCACGAAACUUGCCCCGAGAUGAGUUCUCCCUGACUCCUUGAGAGUCCUGAAGGAACGUUGAAGACGACGACGUUGAUAGGCCGGGUGUGUAAGCGCAGCGAUGCGUUGAGCUAACCGGUACUAAUGAACCGUGAGGCUUAACCUU
rnacentral:rRNA from 1 species